UUCUUCUUCUGACGGGAUUUUUCUUUGAUAUUAGUCAGAGUUAAAUAGACCUGAAAUAAUACUCCAAUAUUAAUGGAGAAAAUUCUCCCAACAAUCCCGUGCUUUUUUUUCCUCGGUGCAAGUGCAGCCUUUGGCAGCUACAUAAUGCAGGUUUCUAUUUCUCUAAGGCUACGUUUGGCAUACCAAAUUAGACUGAACUAGAAAUUAUAUAUAAAAUUAGAGGAGUUUAGGUUGAUAGUAUUAGGGUGGAUUAAGAUGGAUUGUAUUGUAUUUAUACGUUUUCGUUCAAAAGUUGCUAUUUAUACUCUCUCUCUUCCGGCCUAAACCCACAUUUUCAUUUUGUGUUAUGUUAUCCAGUUAGACAAGUAACAUAGUGCAAAAAAUAUUCUUUUGACCAAAAUAAAUACUGUCCAACUUAAUUCAUGUAAUAUAUAAUUAGUACAUCUACUCUAAUUUUAUACUCAAUUGCUUAUACUGUAGUUUAAUUUGGUAGUGUCGGUUGGCCAAAAUGGCAAACUUAAAAUUUCACAACGGGUUCAGCUUUCAUAGAAAAAACUGCUCUAAGCAAGGAGUUUCUUGUCAUGCCAGGUUAAUCUGGUUGCAAACAUGAUACAAGUUUUUCGGAUUAAGGGGUCUGGAUUAUAGACAAUAGGGAGAAUUGUAAUAUUCAUGCAUUAUACAGAACUUUUCGGUCAAUGUAACAUAAUCCCUACUGGCCAACACUCUUCCAUGCUUUGGGAAUUUGAUUUUUUCUUACAUUGUCUCUUUGAUUACAUGCUGGUAUGGAUCUUGCUGAUUUCAUUUC
rnacentral:lncRNA from 1 species